AGUAAUCUAGCACAAGUCAUAUUUAAUUAGUAUUAUUAUUGUAAAUCAGUAGACUGCAUUGCAGUGAUGUGUUCAUAUUUUUGAUUUACUCAAGCAUCUUAAAUAAAAAUGAUUACAGUUAACCAAGUAUUAAUACGUAAUGUAUGUCGAAGCACUAGAUAUGUUAUUACAAAUAGGAAGUAUAGUGAACAAUCUCAAUACACACCUUUCAGUCUAGAAUUAUCUGAUACACAAAAGGAAUUUCGUGACUUAGCAAGAAAAUUUACUAGAGAAGAAAUUAUACCCGUUGCGGCUAAAUAUGAUAGAACUGGUCAGUACCCUUGGGAUAUAAUAAAAAAAGCACAUUCAGUUGGACUUCUCAAUAGCCAUGUUCCUAAACAUUGUGGUGGUAUGAACAUGUCUGUAAUAGAUGGAUCCUUAAUUGCUGAAGAAUUUGGUUAUGGAUGUACUGGAAUUGAAACUACUCUAGAAGGGAGUAAUUUAGGUCAAAUUUCAGUUAUAAUUGGUGGAAAUAAAGAACAACAGAAAAAAUACCUUGGAAGGUUAAUUGAAGAGCCUUUGGUAGCUGCUUAUUGUGAAACAGAACCUGAUGCAGGUUCAGAUUUUAAUACUUUAAAAACAAAUGCUGUGAAAAAAGGUGACGAAUAUAUCAUUAACGGACAAAAAAUGUGGAUAACUAAUGGUGGUGUGGCCAACUGGUAUUUUGUAUUAGCUCGCACUGAUAUGGACCCUAAAGCACCAGCGAGCAAAGCAUUAACUGGUUUUAUUGUUGAUGCUGAUACACCUGGCCUCACACCUGGGCGAAAAGAAUUAAAUAUGGGACAAAAAGCUUCAGAUACGAGAGGAAUUACUUUUGAAGAUGUCCGAGUGCCCAAAGAAAAUGUAUUAACUGGAGAAGGCCAAGGCUUUAAAAUUGCUAUGUUGACGCUUAACAAAACGAGAAUAUCUAUUGCUGCUGGAGCCGUUGGCUUAGCUCAAAGAGCAUUGGAUGAAGCUGCUAAGUAUUCGCUUGAAAGAAAAGCAUUUGGAGUACCUAUCGCUAAACACCAAGCUGUUGCUUUUAUGUUAGCUGACAUGGCCAUUGGUAUUGAGGCUGCUCGACUUACAUACAUGAAAGCUGCAUUUGAAGUUGAUCAAGGACAACGCCAUUCUUAUUAUUCAUCAAUUUGUAAAGCCCAUGCUGCUGGUGUGGCAAAUAAAUGUGCUACUGAUGCCGUACAAAUUUUUGGUGGAAAUGGUUACAAUACAGAAUACCCUGUAGAGAAGUUAAUGAGAGAUGCUAAAAUAUAUCAAAUUUACGAAGGCACUGAUCAAAUCCAACGGUUGAUCAUUUCAAAAGACAUCAUUGAAAAAACCAAACAAAAUAUUGCAUACGCGUGCGUUGUUUUAGGAAAAUGUAGUAUGGGAAUGCUAAUUAAAAUCAAAAGCUAAUAUAGAAGCUGAAUUCCCUUGCGCUCCCGCCCAAGUCGAGCACUGGAUACGAGGAGAAGAGGAUUAAAGUAUUAAGCUGUAGAUUCUGCAGUACACUCCGUUCAGAAUCACUCCGAUGAAUGUUGAUUUAACAAUGAUGUGUUUUCUUUUUUUUGCCUGUGUACAGCAUAAGUCAUAACUAGUUGAAAUAUGGAAAAUUGAAUAUCUUAAGUGCAUUAUAGUCUAUAGAGGUCAAAAGCAAACAUUUUUCAACAGUUUUCAAAAAAAUCGAGAAAAACAAAAAAAAAGUGACGGAAAAACGGUUUAUAAAUCAAUUUUUUAUACGGUUGUAACUAUAAAACUUAUCACUGUGAAUACUUGAAACUUUCACCACAUACUU